AUAAGUUGAAAACGCUGGCCA
rnacentral:siRNA from 1 species